GACGAACCGAGGCGAACGUUUAUUCGGAAUCACUGGGCUUAAAGGGUGCGUAGGCGGGCACGCGAGUCAGGGGUGAAAUCCCACGGCCCAACCGUGGAAGUGCCUCUGAUACCGCGAGCCUCGAGGGGGAUAGGGGCGUGCGGAACUUCCGGUGGAGCGGUGAAAUGACGUAGAUAUCGGAAGGAACACCGGUGGCGAAAGCGGCGCGCUGGAUCCCUACUGACGCUGAGGCACGAAAGCCAGGGGCAGCAAACGGGAGUUAGAA
rnacentral:rRNA from 1 species